CCAGGUGUGGUGUCAUGUACCUUUAACCUCAGCACCGUGGAGGCCUAGGCAGGCAGAUCUCUACCCUGAGAACCUGAACAACAAUCUUAUACCCUGAACCUAGAGACCAGGGAGACAGCAGUAGAGGUGUCAAGGAGGAAGAAGAAGAGAUUCUGCCCCUCACUGUCCAACUUGAGGAGAGAAAUCCUCUGUGUACACAUGUACAUGGCUCCCAGCUCUGCUCUGAGCCACAAUCAGCAGGGAUGAUGAGUGGGAGCAAGGAGAGAGGACCCUGCUGCUCUGAAACUACCUCUAACCCCCACAGGUCGUUCAACCCAGGUCAAAACUUAGAGCUGGACACAGCGAUUGCAUACCUGUAAUCCCAGCACCUGGUGGAAGCAUGACAUUCCCAGAGCGCAGGACCAACCCCAGUCAGCUACAUAGUGAAUUGCAGACCACCCUGGGAUACACAAUACCUCAACACUAUCCCAGAGUGACUGUGCUUUCCUAUGCAGGAUCUGGAACCUUCUACCUUCUGGCGUAGUUAGCUAGAGAGAAAAGUCAAAGUUUGAUAUUUAGAUAUCACUUGGCCUUGUACUGGCAAUGUGACCUUGGAAUAAUUAACUUCUCAAACUUGUUUUGUCAUCCUUUAAAAGAGAAUAGCAGUGCUUAUUGUGAUGAGACCAUUGCGAAGAUGUUACUUCACAGACAUCAUCUCUGAAGUAUCUAAUACAGUAUCAUUCCA
rnacentral:lncRNA from 1 species